UAUUCACUGAAUUUAAUUUGAAAACAAAUUUAAGAUGCUGAACUAGCAUAAUACUGAAGUAGGAUUAGUGAGCUAUGAUGUAGAAAUGGCAAGGUUUGUGCUAUUUCUCAUUUAGAGAUCUGUUUUCUGCUUGUUCUUAAAAUUAAAGUCUUUUUUUUUUUUCUUGAGCUGACUGGAGAAACAGUGAAAUGGGGAAACCUUUAAUACUUAAGGAUAUUUUUAAACUGUUUUUACAUUCAUUCACAUCCUAUCUCUCACUUAAAUUCAGUGCUUCUUCAGCUUUUCUUUAUGAUACAGAUUUUUAAGAGAGACACGCAUACGGACGUCUAAGAAGUAUAUGACACUAUAGUUGGAAUAAAACAAUACAACAGUUUGGGCAUAAUUUGUGGCAGUUUAGGUGUAGAAAUAAUGGAUCCCUUCCAAAAAUCGGAACCUUUAGUUUCAGUCCUGGUGGAUUCCAUGUUUGCCAGACUUUGGCUUGAUGAGUUUAUUCCUGCGUAUCUAAUUGUUUCACUUCAUCAAGCAAUUCAAUGAAACUAUCUUUUUAAAUAUAGACUGUUUUUUGUAGCUUUGUAAACAAAUUCUCUUUCACAUGAUGAUAAGCAGUGAAAAAUAGCUGAAUUCUACAGAGGUUUUCAUUUGAUGGAAGGAGGCAAAUGAAGCAGUCGCACGUAAGGGAUUGUUUUAAGCAAAAUCCGUGUUGCUAUACUGACUGUUGAAUGUGAAGAAGGAAAAUCUUCACACAGAGAAAACUUUGUCAGCCAUUGAUUGGUUGCUUCAAUGCAGCACUUGAGGUACCUACCUGCUAUUGUUAUCAGACAUAGAGAUUGCUAGAGACAACUGUAAGAAUACUUAUACCUUCAGAGAUUUCAUCAAGCCCAUGUAAGCUUGUUGAAAGUUGAGAAUAGUCCAGCUCAUCUUGAAAAAUUCCACUAUCAGUUCUUGACUGUUGACGAAUUAGAGGCCCUCUCUCUUCCCUCCAUCCAGCUAAUGGCUGCUGCUCACCACUCUGUUCCGUAGCUUUUGUAAAACACGAACAGCAGGGACUGAGCUUUUUCAUGAGGCACCGGUUGAUUUUAAUGUCAAAACAUAGUACCAGAAUAUAACACCCAUAUAUUAAUAAUAAGGAAGCACUUUCAUACCUAGAAUUAAAAUAAUAAUAAUAAUUACAUAAUGUGUAAUAUAGAUUAAUAUAUAAUAAAUAACUAAAGUGACUGACAUGGGAAGACAAAAAAAAAUUGCAUGAGUAGUGAAAGGAAAAAACAAAAGCAUCUUUUUGCACUUGUAUGGGCAAUGUCAUGGAAGUUUGUAAGUUUCUUCAUGUCUUUCAGCAGUUUGAUUAAUUCCCCUCCCCUGCAGAAUCUUGUCUGUGUAUUGUAUAGGUGCAUGUUUUCCAGGGGAACUUACUGAACAACUGAUGUUUGCAAAACUGAGUCUUAUGUGAUGGUUAAAGAGGGGAACAGAGUGUGUUAUUUUGAGUUUCAGUAGUGAUGGAAGAGAGCUGACAUCAGAAAGUCGUGAUCUACUUCUGACAGAGAAAUGUUUUUCUUAAUGGUAACGCUAUUAAGGAAAGGCUCUAAAAGAAGUAAACUAUGAAGACUAACUGCUAUGCCAAAACAGGUCAGAUAGAAGUUGUGAAGUUUGUACAAAGAAACCUAUGCAGACCAGACUUUAUAAAUAUGCAGGGUUUGAAUGGUUAGGUAACAAUCUUUACAAGCAUUGUGACUUUCUACGUUUUUAAAGCCAACAGGAUGUAUAUUUCUGUUAGUGAAGGCAGCUGAAGUUUGUUUUUUCACUAAUUUUUAAUCUGUCAAUCACUACUCAUGCUCUUACCAGUAAAUUCUGCUGUCAGAUAUCAUCGCAAGGACCGCCGCUGCACUAAUUGUAUAUGCCAGGCAGUCUCUAAACAGCGGCCAACAGGAUAGCCUCGAAACCUGCAGAUCACAGAUUCAUUUACAUUUUUUUUAAAUGUGUCUGUAAUACUUUCACUAAGUGCUGUAAAUGCUGCAUCGGUAUGUUGUUUCUAUAUUAUGUAAAAAUUUAAGGUUCUUAGGAAUGACUCAAGUAUGAUAUUUAACAACUUAGUGUUUUUAAAAACUUUCAUAGCAACUUAUCUUAAAUCUGAUUACAUGCUGGUUUUGCUACGAAAUAAUAAACUUGACGGUUGUCAUAGUAAGUCUCUCUUGACUUUUGUUGGCAAAGCAGAAAGGUAACCAUUUGGCUCUCAGGUGCAGAACUAUCCAAGGUGCUUCUUACCACGGUAGAGAGCAGCCCGCAUGCUGCACAAAUCCCAAGAAGAUUGUAGAUGGCUGAUCCAAGGAUGGUGCUGACGCCAAUGUCUCCUUUUGUCACGAAGACUCCUACAGUGAAAAUGACUCUGGUAUGUUCCUCUUUGACAUGCAAGGUAAAGAGUUCUAGUUUACAAGGAGUCAGAGCGUGUCUCUCUUACCUAGAAAAGCAGUGACGAGCUCUGGGGCAGAGCUUCCAGCAGCCAUAAAAGUUGCUCCAGCAACAUCCUGAGAGAGGCCAAGGCCUGAGGAUAGAGUGAAAGAAUUGCUUUACAAAAAUUUAAAAAACCC
rnacentral:lncRNA from 1 species